rnacentral:rRNA from 1 species
AACGCCGCGUGAGUGAGGAAGGCCUUAUGGGUUGUAAAGCUCUGUUGCUGGGGAAGAAGGCUAGUGUGAGGAAAUGCGGCAUUAGUUGACGGUACCCGGUGAGGAAGCACUUGGCUAACUACGUGCCAGCAACGGCGGUGACUGAGCGGGCUGGCAAGGCGCAUA